rnacentral:lncRNA from 1 species
AGAUACAGUACUUUCAUUUUCUUCUGUCUGCAACCUCCCAGGGGAACUGUAGUUACUCAUCCCUUCAAUAAAUAAUGUCUUGCAUACCUACAGUCUGCCAAGCACUAUUUUAGGUGGAUACUGGGGCAGCGGCGUAGGAGGAGUUUGGAGGCAUAUGUCUACCCAUAUACGCACAGCCUUCUGGAAGAAACCUCACAUGCAGUAAGUGCAAUAAAAUAUGCAGAUUUUAAAAAGUAACAAAAGCAGGUCAAUGAUCGCCUCGGCGAGGGGCAGGAGAGAGGGAUCAUAAAGGGACAGAGGAAAUGUUAGGUGUGAUGGAUAUGUUUGCUAUGGUGAUUGUGGUGAUGACGCCAAGGGUGUAUACAUGUGUCAAAAUGUGUCAAAUUGUAAAGUUCAGAGAUGUAAAGUUUAUUGUAUGUCAGUUAUACCUCAAUAAACCUUUUUAAAUAAGCUUGAAAUGACCGGAAAAAAGUUUCUAGCAACCACAUUAUUUCCUAAAGAAAUAACUAUGAGGAUAAUUAAGUGGUGGUGGGGCAGGGAGGUGGGUGCCUAAGAUAAAAGAAAAGUGUUAGCAUUAUUCUCUCUUUAACAGUAUUAAAAAGUUCUGUUUCUUACCCUACUAACUACAAGUGAGAAGAAACAGAUGGAACUCAAACCUUGUACCUGGUUUUCUAAAAACUCAACUUCCUCUGUCCAUAAUUGCUGUAACAUAUUUAGAAGGAAGCCAUGAUAGAAUUAAAAAUUUGCAGAAAAUAAAAACAUUCGUGUUUUAUUUUUUCUACCAAUCUGGAGAUACCGGGGAACUAAUAAUAGGUAAUUAUGGGUAACUUUUAAUCCAUGAAAAUCUAACAGUGUACCACAGGAGGCUGAAGGCAUACUGCUAUCACCUGUGUAUUUUACAAACACUUAAUGACACAGUGCAGGACAGACAUGUGCAUCCCUGCCCCACACUAUGUCCGGAUCGGAAGGAAGGAGAAAAGGAAUCGAGUCACCUAGUAGUUAGGAAACAAAAGGAUGCCUA